AGCAGUAGCCGCGGGAAUACAGAGGGUGCGAGCGUUAAUCGGAUUUACUGGGCGUAAAGCGUGCGUAGGCGGCUUCUUAAGUCGGAUGUGAAAUCCCUGAGCUUAACUUAGGAAUUGCAUUCGAUACUGGGAAGCUAGAGUAUGGGAGAGGAUGGUAGAAUUCCAGGUGUAGCGGUGAAAUGCGUAGAGAUCUGGAGGAAUACCGAUGGCGAAGGCAGCCAUCUGGCCUAAUACUGACGCUGAGGUACGAAAGCAUGGGGAGCAAACAGGAUUAAAUACCCCCGUAGUCCCUGUCUCUUAUAC
rnacentral:rRNA from 1 species